rnacentral:snoRNA from 1 species
AUUGCAUCUUAACAGGACUUGGCCUUAGUGCUGUAGGCCAGGGUUUGAUAGCUGAUGCUGACAGGAAGUCUCUCCCUGCAGUAUCUCUGGCUCUCACUGUGCCUGUUGAACCACUCUGGAAGAGAAACAGAU